GGUCUCAUGUAGCUCAGGCUAGAAUCCAACACACUAUCCAGAGGAGGACGAUCUUGAUUACAUUCUGAUCCUCCUGUCUCCACCUCCCAAGCCUAUACCACAGGUUGAAAGCUAGUACACUCAGAAACAUGAAUCAAAAUUAAGACCUCACCUGGGAUCUUCAGGACUAAGCAGGGCCACCACACCUGCCUCCUGCCUCCUAUAUAGACAGAGGAAUGUCCUGGGGCCAUCAAUCAGUCCUUUUGUGAUGCCACCUUUUAUUGGUUCACUGCUGUCUUUACAAGGACCAAAGGGCUCCUAGAAAUAACCUUGGGGUAAAUAGGGCUGGGCAAUAUCAGGAAACAACAAGGUAUCCAAGGAGCCAUGAAAUCUGUAAGAGGCCUUGAUCCCAGACCUGAAUUCUGAGGUAGAGCUCUCAGCUGCCCCCUCCAGAACUUGCCUUCGGAUGCAGGUAUGCUGGGAGCAUCAUCUGGGGUAGGGGAUGCAGCUCUGGAUGCAGGCUGCAUCUUUGGUGGGAGCUUGAACUGCAGAUGGAUCUACGAAGUGGGAGGAGGUACUAGAGCUUAUCGCUGGAGCUGAGUCUGUUGUGUCUUCAAA
rnacentral:lncRNA from 1 species